rnacentral:rRNA from 1 species
UACAGAGGUCCCAAGCGUUGUUCGGAUUCAUUGGGCGUAAAGGGUGCGUAGGCGGCUAUGUAAGUCAGGAGUGAAAGUUUGCGGCUCAACCGUAAAAUUGCUUUUGAUACUGCAUGGCUGGAAUCAGGAUGAGGUCAGCGGAAUGUGGCAUGUAGCGGUGAAAUGCAUAGAUAUGCCAUAGAACACCAAUUGCGAAGGCAGCCGGCUAGACCUGUAUUGACGCUGAGGCACGAAAGCGUGGGGAGCGAACAGG